rnacentral:rRNA from 1 species
UACGUAGGGGGCAAGCGUUGUCCGGAAUCCUUGGGCGUAAAGAGCGUGUAGGCGGCUCGGUAAGUCCGCUGUGAAAGUCCAGGGCUCAACCCUGGAAUGCCGGUGGAAACUGUCGGGCUAGAGUCCGGAAGAGGCGAGUGGAAUUCCUGGUGUAGCGGUGAAAUGCGCAGAUAUCAGGAGGAACACCAAUGGCGAAGGCAGCUCGCUGGGACGGUACUGACGCUGAGACGCGAAAGCGUGGGGAGCAAACAGG